rnacentral:rRNA from 1 species
UGGGGAAUAUUGCACAAUGGGCGAAAGCCUGAUGCAGCGACGCCGCGUGAGUGAUGAAGUAUUUCGGUACGUAAAGCUCUAUCAGCAAGGAAGAUAAUGACGGUACUUGACUAAGAAGCCCCGGCUAACUACGUGCCAGCAGCCGCGGUAAUACGUAGGGGGCAAGCGUUAUCCGGAUUUACUGGGUGUAAAGGGAGCGUAGAUGGUCUAGCAAGUCUGAUGUGAAAGCUCGGGGCUCAACCCCGGAACUGCAUUGGAAACUGCUUGACUAGAGUGCAGGAGAGGUAAGUGGAAUUCCUAGUGUAGCGGUGAAAUGCGUAGAUAUUAGGAGGAACACCAGUGGCGAAGGCGACUUACUGGACUGUAACUGACAUUGAGGCUCGAAAGCGUGGGGAGCAAA